ACAGAGCCAUAUUAACGAUUCUUCCUAACCCCGGUCGACACCGCAACACUCAGCCUGAAGACGCCUCAAGUUAGUUCGCCCGCACAAUAACCAUGGCCAUUAUUUGGGGCUUCGAUCUCCCGUCCAUGAGACUCCCUAUUUGAGAUGAACUGAAAGACGAGGGCCGCUGUGAACUCCUGAAGUGGAGACUAAACUUAACGUCAUCUGUAUGAUGUCAUACUAGACUGCGUGCCAAUCGCCAUUCAUCGUACGUGAACGUACAGGGAGACUAAAGACUAUAGAGACGAGCUACCGUAACUUUGAAGUACAAGUAUCUGUGAUUUUUAUUCAUUAAUUGAUAGAAGAUUGCUUUGGCCAAUCGAUAAUAAGUGAUUCAAUUGACUGUGGGUUUAACUAAUGAUUACACCGAUUUACCCAAUGUUGUACAUAAUUGUAAAUAAUUUUUGUUGUAAAUAUAUUAUCUAAAUUUAA